AGUGAACGCUGGCGGUAUGCCUAACACAUGCAAGUCGAACGGCAGCACAGUAAGAGCUCGUUCUUGCUGUUAGCGGCUGGCGGACGGGUAAGGAGUAGAUCGCCUACUUCUUUUUCUGGGGUGACUUCGUGGGAACAGUUCUGCUAAUACCUCAUACUACCUACCGCUUAGAGCAGAGGUUCUUGAGAGUCUUCGUGUUUCUAUUAGCCGGUUCCGGAUUAGCUAGUUGGCUUGGUAAAGGCCCACCAAGGCGACGAUGCGUAGCCGGUCUGAGAGGAUGAUCAGCCACACUGGAACUGAGACACGGUCCAGACUCCUACGGGAGGCAGCAGUGGGGAAUAUUGGACAAUGGGCGCAAGCCUGAUCCAGCCACACCGCGUGGGUGAAGAAGGCCUUCGGGUUGUAAAGCCCUUUUGUUGGGAAAGAAAAGAAGCAGGUUAAUACCCCGCUGUUCUGACGGUACCCAAAGAAUAAGCACCGGCUAACUUCGUG
rnacentral:rRNA from 1 species